rnacentral:rRNA from 1 species
GAUGAACGCUGGCGGCGUGCCUAAUACAUGCAAGUCGAGCGAACAGACGAGGCGCUUGCUCCUCUGACGUUAGCGGCGGACGGGUGAGUAACACGUGGAUAACCUACCUAUAAGACUGGGAUAACUUCGGGAAACCGGAGCUAAUCCCGGAUAAUAUAUUGAACCGCAUGGUUCAAUAGUGAAAGACGGUUUUGCUGUCACUUAUCGAUGGAUCCGCGCCGCAUUAGCUAGUUGGUAAGGUAACGGCUUACCAAGGCAACGAUGCGUAGCCGACCUGAGAGAGUGAUCGGCCACACUGGAACUGAGACACGGACCAGACUCCUACGGGAGGCAGCAGUAGGGAAUCUUCCGCAAUGGGCGAAAGCCUGACGGAGCAACGCCGCGUGAGUGAUGAAGGUCUUCGGAUCGUAAAACUCUGUUAUUAGGGAAGAACAAAUGUGUAAGUAACUAUGCACGUCUUGACGGUACCUAAUCAGAAAGCCACGGCUAACUACGUG